rnacentral:rRNA from 1 species
AACGGUAGCAGGAAGUGCUUGCACUUUGCUGACGAGUGGCGGACGGGUGAGUAAUGCUUAGGGAUCUGCCUUCGGGAGGGGGAUAACAGUUGGAAACGACUGCUAAUACCGCAUAACACCUACGGGUCAAAGGGGGGUUCGCCUCUCGCCUGAAGAUGAACCUAAGUGAGAUUAGCUAGUUGGUGAGGUAAAGGCUCACCAAGGCGACGAUCUCUAGCUGGUCUGAGAGGAUGACCAGCCACACUGGGACUGAGACACGGCCCAGACUCCUACGGGAGGCAGCAGUGGGGAAUAUUGGACAAUGGGGGCAACCCUGAUCCAGCCAUGCCGCGUGUGUGAAGAAGGCCUUCGGGUUGUAAAGCACUUUCAGACGUGAGGAAAGGUUAGUAGUUAAUACCUGCUAGCUGUGACGUUAGCGUCAGAAGAAGCACCGGCUAACUCCGUGCCAGCAGCCGCGGUAAUACGGAGGGUGCGAGCGUUAAUCGGAAUUACUGGGCGUAAAGCGCACGCAGGCGGUUUGUUAAGCUAGAUGUGAAAGCCCCGGGCUCAACCUGGGAACUGCAUUUAGAACUGGCAGGCUAGAGUCUUGGAGAGGGGAGUGGAAUUCCAGGUGUAGCGGUGAAAUGCGUAGAGAUCUGGAGGAACAUCAGUGGCGAAGGCGACUCCCUGGCCAAAGACUGACGCUCAUGUGCGAAAGUGUGGGUAGCGAACAGGAUUAGAUACCCUGGUAGUCCACACCGUAAACGAUGUCUACUAGCUGUUUGUGUCUUUAAGACGUGAGUAGCGCAGUUAACGCGCUAAGUAGACCGCCUGGGGAGUACGGCCGCAAGGUAAAACUCAAAUGAAUUGACGGGGGCCCGCACAAGCGGUGGAGCAUGUGGUUUAAUUCGAUGCAACGCGAAGAACCUUACCUACUCUUGACAUCCAGGAAAUUUUUCA